rnacentral:rRNA from 1 species
UACGAGGGGGGGCAAGCUUGUCCGGAAUCAUUGGGCGUAAAGAGCGCGUAGGCGGUCCGGUAAGUCGGUUGUGAAAAACUGGGGGGCUCAACCCUCAGAGGCCGACCGAUACUGCUGGGCUAGAGUCCGGAAGAGGCGAGUGGAAUUCCUGGUGUAGCGGUGAAAUGCGCAGAUAUCAGGAGGAACACCGGUGGCGAAGGCGGGUCUCUGGGCCGUAACUGACGCUGAGGAGCGAAAGCGUGGGGAGCGAACAGG